rnacentral:lncRNA from 1 species
GGGGAGCGGUGGGGCACGAUUCAGUCCACUGCACACCGUUCUCCUCUCCAGACCUCUCACUGGCAAGUCCUUUCAUCUCAAUUUCAGUUCUGUGAGGCCGUCCUACUAUUGUCUAUCACCCUGUUUGAUUUUUUUGUAGCCUCAUCAUUUAUUCAUUACAGUUUCUUAAGUUCUUUUUUUUAGGGAGCUUGUCAUUGCCUAGAAGAGUGCUGGGCACACAAUAGGUAGGUAUUCAGUAGGCAUGCAUUGAAUUUUAAUUCUGACCUUUUGAAUCUGCCCUGUGUUAACUUCCUUGAGAGGGCUGUCCUGCUAAGGAACAAUGACCAGAUGAUGAGUGGCUGUGCCUAGGAUAGAGGGAGGGCAGCUGCACCGAGGGUCGGCUGUUUAACACUGACUCUGUAGGUGAAGGAGUAUUGAUACUGAAUAUACAACUAAAAUCAUGUAAUAUAGCACAUGAGAUUCUUAAUGCUAAAAUUAAGACUUUUUAACAUGAAAAAUGCUCUUAAGGGCAGAAAUGAAGCAAAUUUCAGGCAAGAUGGCAGACAAGACUGAAACGGAUUCAUCCAUCAACUGCUACAGACUUAAAAAACAAAAUAUGCCCAAUGCAAAGCUGAGCUCAGGAAAUCCUCAGAUGCUAGAGAUAAAGACAAAAUCCAGUUGCAGAAGUGAGUUCCAGGUGAUGCCAGGAGACCCCAGGAAGUAUCAGAUUAGGUCACAAAACUAGGAAUAAGGUUUUAAUGUCUUCAGAAAAACAGAGCAUUUGGUGAGAGAAGGGAACUAAUCCGAGACUCCCGCAUACAACCAGGACACUUGAAGGGCUGCCUCACCUGUGAAAAAGAAACUGGAAAAAUCUCUUCAAAUCUGUCUGUGGAAACAGAAAGACAGCCUGGUGUUUGACAAAGCUCUCGGUGGGACAAACCUCCUCUGAGAAAUGGAAACCUAGGAAAUCAAAAGCCCAGAAAUUAAGGGAAAGCAUUAGUCUCAGAUAAUGAAAAGGAAACCCUUGGGGCCCGGGCCAAAGCAAAUGUAAAAACAUGAACACUUGCAUAAUCUCGUACAUGGGACUCACAGAAAAUGCAACCCCUAAUAUAGAUGAGCUCGCAAUGAAAAAUUAUCCACCACUGUGGCAAUGCAGUCACCAAAAGGAAGACUCAACAGACCAAUGAGCAUAGACACGAGCUGUGGAGUAUGAUCAGCUUGUCGAAAGAAUGAAUCAAUGACACUCUGUCUUCGUGGAGAGCAGCCUGGGUGUGGAAUCAGGCACCCCCGGGUUCAAAGCCAUCACUGGCGAACUCACAAAGAGUGGGACUCACCGACCUGAGGGUUUGCCAGCACACUCGUAGCCCGCGGGACUAGAGUAUUUGUGAGAGAGGAGUGUGGUCUUUUGAUUGAAGAACAGAAGUCAUUCGUGAAGGACACAGCACACACAGCCCAGAGAGCUCGCAGGUUAAAACUGCACAUGGAGCAAUGUCUGCCAGCCAUUCAGGGUACUUCAAAAUAGGUCAGAAUACGUUUCCAGAAAGUGACACCUUCUUUUUGGGUUUGCGUAUAAUAAUAAAUCUAGGGGAUAAGAACA